rnacentral:rRNA from 1 species
AUGGUGGCGCCACGGCGGCCUCACCCCACGGUCUCCUCCAUCGUUGCAUGUGCGCCAUCCUCAGUCCAACCCCAUGGCGUCGGGGUGAUCGUGUUUGUCGCGAGCAGUAGUUCGGACUUGGGCAUGGUUGUGCCUCAGCAGUUCAGAGCUCGGAUGGGCGGCAGCAGCAUCCUCCCAAGAUCGUCACCGGUGGACAAGCCAUUCAAACAGGAGCCAGCAGUUCACCUGCGCGGCCCGAUGUCAGCUGAUUCGAAGAGACCAGGUCUCUUUCUCUCUCUCUCCUCUGCUAAUUCAUCUCCCAUGCCCUUUGUUUACCUCCCUCUCAUUCUACCAGCCGAGAUCAGUGAUAAGCACAUAAGAUGUUUGUGUUUAUGCCUGAAAAAUAGUGUUUUUUCUUAUGAUUUUUACAUGGCUUAUUGCUGA